UCCGGUUUGUCACCGGCAGUCUCAUUAGAGUGCCCUUUCGUAGCAACUAAUGACAAGGGUUGCGCUCGUUGCGGGACUUAACCCAACAUCUCACGACACGAGCUGACGACAGCCAUGCAGCACCUGUGUUGCAGUUCUCUUUCAAGCACUUCCCAAUCUCUUGGAAAUUCUGCACAUGUCAAGGGUAGGUAAGGUUUUUCGCGUUGCAUCGAAUUAAUCCACAUCAUCCACCGCUUGUGCGGGUCCCCGUCAAUUCCUUUGAGUUUUAAUCUUGCGACCGUACUCCCCAGGCGGUCUACUUCACGCGUUAGCUGCGUUACCAAGAAAAUUAAUCCCCGACAACUAGUAGACAUCGUUUAGGGCGUGGACUAC
rnacentral:misc_RNA from 1 species